CACACCCCUGCCUCCGCCCUAAACUUGCGUCUGGGUCAAUUGGUAGUGGGGCAGUUGUGUGGAGGGUUUUGUCACUGUAUCUAUUCCACCACGCCCUGCCUUUCCCUUCACACAGCCCCCACUCUGGUCCAGGCCCGGCUGGCGCGGUGACUCCUCCCCCACUGCCUGGUCCUCCCCCGCCCCUCCCACGCAGGCUCCAACACCGUCGGGGUAGGUUCUUUCUCCUAAAACAUUGCUGAGCCCCACAUCGUGUUAGGUUCUUUCUCAUAAAACAUUGCUGAGCUCCAUCUCAGUAAAUGUCCAGCAACCCCCCGCCCGCCCCCCAGACUAGGUGGAGCCACACUAGGCCACUUCUGUGACUCUGGGGUUGGCCCCAGCUGUUCCUCACUCAGUUCCCCACUCUGCUCCCCACUGCGGGGCUCACUGCCCCUCCUCCUGCUGUCCUGAAUCCAUGCUGAGCUCCAGCCCUCCCCACCUGAGACACCUCCCUCUGCCUCCCUCAUCAGAGGCGGGCACCAGUCCAGAGCCGGCUUCGCCACCCAGCCUUGAGUCACCUCUCCACCUGGCCACCUACGGAGAAGCUCCUAGGUUUGGAUCUCAUCGCUACCAUAGACUGUUGGAGUUUCAAGGGUGGAGAUCCGCCAUUGCUUUUUCCAUAUCCGCAGAAAUUCCUUUCACAUGAAAUGUGAGUCUGUUGGGUUCCCCCCCGAGACCAGCGGUGGAAGAAGAAGCUGGAGGUGGCUGAUGAGACACUUCAUGCUGGACCAAGAAACGGGGACUCGGGGUUGAGUCCACAUGUGCCAUUUGUGGGGACGCCGUGCAUUCCCCAGUUUGCCGCUCUCUGUUUCAAAUUCUUUCACUCGAUGCUGUUGUGGGCAUGAAGUCAAAGCAGGCAUGUGUGAGACAGUGCUUUGUAAAACAUAAGGCACGGAACAAGUUUAGAACAGGAAGAGUUGAAGCUGGAUUGACGCAAUUACCAAAAAUAAAAUUAGCUGAGGGUGUCAGCGAUGAGCCAUGGAACUUUUAAUAAUCAUCACAUUUUAGGUCGGUGCCUUUAUGCUUUGAAUUCAAAUGGCAUCAAUUUAGGAAUAAAGAAGUCAACAGUUUUAAUGGCCCAAUAUGGAUGCAAGGGUCACUGAUUACUUUAGGGUCCUUAUGUUGCAAGGAGUCUAGGAAAAACUUCAAUUUUUUUUUUUUACAGCAACGUGAUUCUCUUUGUGGUGUCUACUAAAAUAAGAAAGUUACAGUGAGAUUUCUUCAGUGUUCUGAUGGCUUUCUGCCUCUCCUCUGACCAGCGUGAGCCACUCCUUCAUCUCUGCCUCUCACUUUCUGCUUGACAGUCAAGGCUCGCCUUGAACCUCCCUCUUCAGAAAGCCUUUCUGACCUGCCUCCUCAGGAGUGUUUGUUUGUGGUAUUUGACCACAAUCUGCACUAUACUAAUUAGCUAUGAUUUUUAUGGGGCUGGAGGAACUUCUAAGGCAGCAGCCGCGUCGGGUUCUUCUGUCUCCUUCCCAGGGCUUCCUCAGGGCUUAGUACAGGGCAUGUGCUAAGCAUUCCCUAGCCCCUUCCUUUGCCCUUGUUUGUUCUUUCUAAUCAGAUUCUGUGGGGAAGUUCAUUGUCACAAUGUCCAAUGUUUAGCAUUCAAAGGCUGCAUGAGGUAGAUCAGGUAAACAUACCUCUCUGGCUGUACCAAAAUGGGGGGUUUGGCAUAUCCGCCACCUGAAAGCAGCUGGACCCUGCGUGGAUCUGGGUUUGUAUGCUUACCCUGUUGAUGCUGACCAGAUGCUUGAAGAGGACAGGGUCAGAUGCUUUGUUUGCCGAAGAAACCAGGUAGAUACCCACACUGUGGCCCCAGGAGCUGGCAGCAUCCUGGCAGCACCCUCGCAGCACCGCAGAGCCCCCACCUGCCUGCCCGUCACCGAUGUCCUUUCUCUUCUUGAGUUAAGCCUUUCACUUACUGUCAGCUGGAGGAUGCAUGCCACAGCUAAAUCCCUGGCUAAAAGGUACUAACUCCCAGAUGCUCCAACCCCCACUGUGGGACUCACCGUGAAAAUGUCCAGUUUCUUUAUUAUCAAAGAAAAAUAAUAGUCAGUGAAACCCAAACAAAUCUUAGCGCUCCAUGUGGCACAGUCUCUGCCUAUUGGGACAAACUUGUGAUCUGUUUCAUACACCUUAAGAUACAAUGUAUCUUUCGGGAGUAUUUUUAAAGGGGCAGGGAGGCGGUGGGUGUGGUGCUUCCUGCAGAAAGACUCCUGAAAGGCGUCUUGACUUGUUUUUCUCGCUCCCCAAAGCCCAUCCUCUUGUGCCAGCUCACUCCCUCUCCACUCUGCUCCUCCAUUUCCUGUGCCUUUCCUGAGGGACUCAGCUUACACCCAACACACGCCAAGGGACUUUCAUUGCUGCAGCAUCUAGGACGUGUCAUCUCAUUGUCAUCACUCAACACUUUUCUUAUCAGCCUCAGGCUGUUACUUGGUCUCUGCAGAUACAGCAGAACUUGAGAGAGAACCAAAAAACAAAAUCCUUCCUUGGUCCUGGGUUAUUCGCUGGUGGAGUCUGUGUCUCUGCUAAGAUGACUUUGUCAAACACCUGCUAUGUGCCAGAGCGUGGGCCCUGUGUCCAGCACACUUGCAUGCCCUUUUGAGACUGACAGGCAUCAUUAUCUUUUCUACAAAAAAGAAAGACGAGGCACUGGGUGCAUAAUUAACCUGCCCCAGACACGCAGCCAGUUAGUGGUGAAGCUGGAGCCCCCCCCGGAGCCUUCACAUCACUGCCCUGCUCUCCAGCCAACCGUGGAACGAAACAAGAAGGCAGACAACGUCCACGGACGGCUCGCCCUGUGUUUAUUAUAGUGUUUGCAAAUCUGAAUAACUGAGCACAUUCCUGACAACCCUGACUACUGAAAUGAAGGCAAAGAGAUGGGAUGAAAAAUGGGUACUUUGGAUCAAAACAACCCCCGAUUUAUGUAAAUGUAACUCUAACUUUUGGACAGGUGGCAGGUUUGAGACUGGGAAGCUGGAUUCCCUCUGGACUGGGGGUGCCUCUGGCGACAACACUCCUGAGGAAGGCUCAAGCAGAGGAAUUUUUUAAAAUGAAUGAAUAAAUGAGCUCUUCUCAUAGGUUCUCAUGAAAGGAGGGUCCCCAAAGAAGGGGAAGGGCUGAAGGGUUGGGUGAUCUACACAUCAGCAGCAGCAGUGUGUGGUUUCACCUGACAGACUGCUUGUUUGGGAGGGUGGAGGGGCUCUCCCAGGGGAUCCCGAGGUUGCCCCUGAGUGAGCGAGGUCAGGACAAUCUCUCCUCUCCUUCCUGGGUCUCAGGGAGCUUCCAUGAACAGAGCUGGGGUCUGAGGCUGGCUCUUGGUUUGCAGCUGGGCUUGGCUGACACAGCCAGCCUGGCUCUGCUUGGGGUAGCAGGAUACAGGAAUUUAAGGCCAGCGUCUACUCCUGGGCGGGGGCAGGUCAUCCCCCUGCCAGCCCAUCUUUCCAAUGUGACUAAGGGAGGUGCAGUGGGAUGUGCAGGAAACGAGGAUCCCUUCAGCCUCACAGUCCCCGGGACAGGGGCCUUGCAUUUGUGUCUACUGGGCCGGUCUCACCCCAACAUCCUAAUGUCACCAACGUUGAACUUGUCUAUUGUCUCAGUUUGGGUUUUCCUGAAAGUAGGUCCUGAGACAGGACUUGCGUACAGGCAGUUUAUUUAGGGGACUGAGACAGGGAGAAAAGAAAAGACACAAUGUGUGAAUGAAUAAGACGGACUCUCCUGAGGACAAGUGUUACUCAGCCCCACCAACCCCUUCUGAGGACUGUGUAGGACCCACCUGGAAUUCAUCUCCCCAAAGUAUUAGGAGUCUGGGACACUUACUUUUCUGGGCCAGAAAAAGCCCCAGGCAGAGGUCCAUGAAGGACUGAUGUGGACAGAUGCUCUCCAGUGACCUCCUGCACCGAUGGUGUCUGCCACCCUGUCUUUGCCACCAGACUCUGAGUUCUGAGUCAAUUUCGUCCACGGGACCCAGCUGUGGGCUUGGCCCAUUUUUUUUUUUUUUUUAAUGAAUGAAUGAAUAAGCUCUUCUCAUAGCUUUUCAUGUAAGGAGGGUCCCAAAGAAGGAUGAGCCAGGAGGCCCAGAUAGGGGAUCCCCUUUAGUUCCAGGUAGAGGGACACCCCAGGGUUGAGAGGGAACAGAGCAGCCUGAGGAUGGCAAGGGAAGCGAGGGGUGGGGGUCUGGGGGCCUGGGGGCCUGAGCCCGCUUUGGCAAAGGCCAGGACAAAGUGGCCUUCUUGAGUGGUAGGGAACAGCAGGGUGUGACCUUCUUCCAGCCCAGGCUGGAGACCCCUCUGCCACCUCCUGGUGAGUGUGAUGGGGGGAGGUGGCCUCUGUGAUGAAAGUAGGAAUGGCCAGGGCUGAAGCAUCAUGAUGGAACUGUCCCCUGUGCCCCGGUUAUGUGUGUCACUGCUGUGCCAUGCCUGGGUGUGUGGGAGGACUGGAGGACACUGGCUGGGCCUGUAUCAGGGCCACAGGAGCCCACUGGAUGUUUGUGACUACACAUCAAGUAUGGAGGGCUGGGUGCUCAUCUGUGGUGUUGCACACGGAGAGACAAUGGACCUCUACAAAAAUGCACCUGUUUCAUAGAACCAUCUGAGCAGUUUUGUUUGUUGGUUUUGAGACAAAGUCUUUCUCUGUCACCCAGGCUGGAGCGCAGUGGUGCGAUUGUGGCUCACUGCAGCCUCGACCUCCCAGGCUCCAGCGAUUCUCCCGCUUCAGCCUCCUCAGUAGCUUGGACUAUAAGUGUGCACCACCACGCCUGGCUAAUUUUAAAUUUUUUCAUAGAAACAAGGUCUUUCUGUGCUGCCCAGGUUUGUCUUGAACUCCUGGGAUCAAGCAGUCCUCCUGCCUCGGCCUCCCAAAGUGCUGGGAUCACAGGUGUGAGCCGCCUCGCCCAGCCCAUGCGUGGUUUUCAGGGAGCAUCAUUCAGACUUGGGUGAUGUCUUCCCAAAGAUGAAUGAAGGAGUGAUGAUGAAUGCCAACCGCUCUGAUAGUGCAAGAAAAACAAAUGAAUGAAGUGAGCCCACCCCUCCAAGGAAAGCAACUGACAGCGUUUGUUGCCAAUGAUCACAUUCAAGCUUUUUCAAAUGAAAUUUAGGAUUUUGGAAAACGUGCAUCCCCACCAGGAUCUUGAUGGCUCUGCAGUAUUUUUCUGAUGAAUUGAUGGAAAUAUUCGUGAGCGGGAUUUCUUAAAAUAUUAAAAAAUAAAUUGUAUCAAUAUUCUUCAGAAAACCUGCAUAACUCAGUGAAGAAAUAUUUUCCAAUGACCCAUAUAUGACGUUAUGAAAUCAUGCGUGAGUAACAGAAUUAUUCGAAGUACAAGACAGACCAAUGGAUUUUGUGAGUACAAAAUUCAUUUUUCAUUUUGAGUGCAAAAAUUCAUUAAUACGGUUUCAGAUUCCACAAUUCGAGUAACUUUAAGAAGCCACCACUUGUCAAGUUUGGGUGUAGUAUCAAAGAAGAUGGUCCGCAGUUAUCUGGAAGAGCCAUGAAAAUCCUUUCACCUCUUCCAGCUGCAUAUCUGGUGAGGCUGGAUUUUCUUUAUUCCCUUUAACCAAAACAGCAUAUUGCAACAGAUUGAGUAGAGAAGCAGAUAUGAGCAACCAGCUGUCUUUUCAAUCAGACCAGGCAUAAAAAGCAAUUGUAAAAACGUGAAACGAUGCCAUUCGUCUCACUACAUUACUAUUUUAAGUACGCUAUUUUUUAAAUAAAUAUGCUGGUUAUGCUAACUUGUG
rnacentral:lncRNA from 10 species